UAUAGAGAAUACCGUUUCCACGAAAACGGUCAAAUCCAAAGCGACUGUCUGAACAUCUCUUUUUGAAAAUGGGUAUAAUUCUGCUGGGUCAGUAGUUCAGUUGGUUAGAAUGCCGCUCUGAUACAGCGGAGGUCGAAGAUUCGAGUUCUUCCUGACCCACCACUUAAAUUGAUGAGGUUGGAAUCAAAAACAAAUACUUGUUUUUGAUUCCAGAUGUUCUGAUGAAUAUCUUCGGAAUCUGCUUUUAUUAGCAAUCACUGUAAAUCGGUUUUUAAUGUCGUAAAUCAAGCUUUAUGGAAACAUGACUUUUGAUUUAUUGAACAUCGUAAUCUCAAAAAUCUUUCUAAAUAGAGUAAUCACGAAAGUGAUAAUUCAAUUAGAGAAGCAAGAAUCAACUUAAAUGCUUAAAAAACUCAUUAAGUUCUUUUGAUUGUGUUUGAAGACUUUCCCUUCAAGCAUAAGAUAAAAAGUAACAAAGGGUGUUUAGUGGAUGCCUUGGCAAUCAGAGGCGAUGAAGGACGUGAAAGACUGCGAUAAGUCCGGGUGAGGCGUCAAUAUCCUUUGACCCCGGAAUUUC
rnacentral:misc_RNA from 1 species